ACAACUGACUCACUUUCACUUCCACUUUCUCAUUGUAAGGACGGAGCCUCACGAACGGGAUCAGUGCUCUUAUGAAAGAGACCGCGGAGAGCCCCUGGACUCUUCCAGCGUCUAAGGACGCAGGGAAAGAGUGCUGACUGGACGAGGCGCAGGGCCCUCUUCAGAGCUGGAUGGUGGUGAUGCCGUGCUCUUGGACUCCCAGCCUCCAGUGCGAAAUGCAUGCCUGCUGUUUAUAAGCCACCUAGUUUGUGGGUGUGUCACAGAAGUCCAGUGGACCAAGGGCGGGAUGCUGAGCCCGGCGUUCCUCCGAGGCUGCGGAGCCGCCCUGACGCUCUUAGCUGUGCCCCUUCCCCCCGGGCUGUCCCCCCACCCUCCAGUGGUGUCUGCUGGGCCCUGCCCCUCAGGAUCCCACCUGGUCCUGCCCUUCCAGCCGGAAGCCUGGGGCUGCCUGCAGGAGGGAGGAUGCAACACUGCCAAGCCUGGCCUUGUAGACAACGUGGAGCCCCCGGCAAGGUGCCUGGUCCUGGGGUGAGGAAGGGGAGGAGGGGGCCAGACCUGCAGAGAGUCACAGAUGGAAGGUGUGCUUCCUAGGAGCAAAGAAAGCUGACAGAGGCUCGGGAUGGUGACCCAGAGGGAAGGUGAAAACGGUGACUUUGAAUCCUUCACUUUACUUCUGUGUUCAUCUGUAAAAUGGAGAAAACAAUAGCUCCCCCUCACUUAACCUCUGAGUUGCAACAAGUAAAUGUGGGUAAAACGCUGGGCCAGGCCCUGAACAAAGGGCCCAGCAAAUGCUUGCUGCUCUUUGUCAGCGUUCUUCCUUAUGUAUUGGUGACGUUUCUGGGGAGGGACAGCAAGUGCAGGAGACGCAGAAGGGGCCCUGAAGGCGCCUCACCUUCAGCUGGGAGCAGGGGCGGAGGGGGCCCAGCUAGGCUGUGGGGGAGCUUCCAGCCCUGUUCCUGUCCCGGGGUCCUCUCCCCCCAGUCCUGUUGCACCGGGGACAGUGACACAGCAGAGGAUGAGAACCCGGGGAACUUGGAGUGCUGAGCCUCCCCGGCACCAUUUGCGCCGGACUCCAGCGGCAGCUUUUUAUCCAGGACUGGAUGAUCAAAAUCCGUGAGGCUGGGGCCAGGCAGGACUCUUACCUGCUUCCCCUGAGCGGCGGGAGUAGCCAAGAGGUAAGAGAGGUCUUACCUCCUCGAGGAAUCCUGCCCUUUUCUUGCAAUGAGUUCCUCCUUCUAACUAGCCCCCGUCGCUGUGGUGGGUGCAAACUGUGUCCUUUAAUUUGGGCCUUGAUCGUGCUUAGUCGUGUGGUCGUGUCUGACUCUUUGCAGC
rnacentral:lncRNA from 1 species